UAUGAGUAGCGAUAAGAAGGGUGAGAAUCCCCUCCGCCGAAAGCCUCAGGAUUCCUGAGGAAGGUUCGUCCGCUCAGGGUUAGUCGGGACCUAAGGCGAGGCCGAAAGGCGUAGCCGAUGGAGAACGGGUUGAUAUUCCCGUACCACCGCGCGGGCGCUUGAGCGAUGGGGUGACGCAGAAGGGUAGGCGCAGCCGGGCGCUGGUCGUCCCGGUGCAAGCGUGUAGAGGGUGCGGUAGGCAAAUCCGCCGCACAUCAACCUCAAGGCGCGACGCCGAGGGAACUUGAGUACCGAAGUGGCCGAUCCCACGCUGCCAAGAAAAGCCUCUAGCGAGAACGCCGGUGCCCGUACCGCAAACCGACACAGGUAGGCGGGGAGAGAAUCCUCAGGCGCGCGAGAGAACCCCUGUUAAGGAACUCGGCAAACUGGCCCCGUAACUUCGGGAGAAGGGGCGCCCCGUUAGGGUGAGCAGGCUCGCCCUGCAAGCCCGAGGGGGCCGCAGUGAACCGGCCCAAGCGACUGUUUACCAAAAACACAGGUCUCUGCGAAGCCGCAAGGCGACGUAUAGGGGCUGACGCCUGCCCAGUGCCGGAAGGUUAAGGGGAAGGGUUAGCCUUCGGGCGAAGCUCUGAACCAAAGCCCCGGUGAACGGCGGCCGUAACUAUAACGGUCCUAAGGUAGCGAAAUUCCUUGUCGGGUAAGUUCCGACCUGCACGAAAGGCGCAACGACUUGGGCGCUGUCUCAACAGGGGACUCGGCGAAAUUGUAGUAUGCGUGAAGAUGCGCAUUACCCGCGGCUAGACGGAAAGACCCCGUGGAGCUUUACUGCAGCCUGAGAUUGGGCUUUGGUACUGGGUGUAUAGGAUAGGUGGGAGACGGGGAAGCCGGGGCGUCAGCUUCGGUGGAGUCGCCGGUGGAAUACCACCCUCCUAGUGCUGAAGUUCUAACCACGAACCGUGAACCCGGUUCUGGGACAGUCUCUGGUGGGCAGUUUGACUGGGGCGGUUGCCUCCUAAACGGUAGCGGAGGCGCCCAAAGGUUCCCUCAGCGCGGUUGGAAAUCGCGCGUGGAGUGUAAAGGCAUAAGGGAGCCUGACUGCGAGACAGACGUGUCGAGCAGGGACGAAAGUCGGGCUUAGUGAUCCGGUGGUCCCGAGUGGAAGGGCCAUCGCUCAUCGGAUAAAAGCUACCCCGGGGAUAACAGGCUUAUCUCCCCCAAGAGUCCACAUCGACGGGGAGGUUUGGCACCUCGAUGUCGGCUCAUCACAUCCUGGGGCCGGAGUCGGUCCCAAGGGUUGGGCUGUUCGCCCAUUAAAGUGGUACGCGAGCUGGGUUCAGAACGUCGUGAGACAGUUCGGUCCCUAUCUGCCGCGGGCGCAGGAGAUUUGAGAGGACUCGCCCCUAGUACGAGAGGACCGGGGUGAACGCACCGCUGGUACACCAGUUGUCCCGCCAGGGGCACGGCUGGAUAGCCAAGUGCGGC
rnacentral:rRNA from 1 species